AAAGCCCAAACCCAGAGACGCAGCCCGCAGACGUAAAACAACCCAAACCGCCCCAUUUGCCACCUCCAAUUCGAGAUCUGUUAAAUUUAUAAAACUCCUGGUGGCGCGUUUGCCCCCACCGUCUCUCUGUCUCUGCUAGUCACACAGCAGUAAAAAUGACGACCUCUAUGGGACCUCCACCUCCUAAAAACCCUAACCCCUCGCCCUCCACCGCCGCCUCCUCCACCACGAUGACGACCUCCGAACAACCCAAAACUCUCGACCAACCUCAAGAUUCUUUAGUGAAAGGCCAUAUGGGCCCACCUCCACCACCGCCCCCGAGAAACACUAUACCUUCCGAAUCGGAAGCCGUCGAAAAUCCAAAUUUGAACUCACCCAAUUCCAAUUCAAUACAGCCCUCUGAACAGAGCGUGAAGCGGUCCUCAGUGCCUUACACCAUUCCUGAAUGGAGCGGGCCUCCUUGCCAUAACUUUUACCUUGAAGUUCUCAAAGAUGGCUCCAUCAUUGAGCAAUUGGAUAUCUACGAGAAGGGGGCUUAUAUGUUUGGGCGUGUAGAUCUCUGCGAUUUUGUUCUUGAGCAUCCUACCAUCUCUCGAUUCCAUGCUGGUACUUGCUUGCUUCUUUCUUCUUCUAGUGGUAUUGUAUGUAGUUGAUCAAUUAGGUUAGUAAUGCGUUUAAUGGACAAACUUAGCUUCAAGUUAAUACAAGUUGUGAUCAAAGACGUUGGAAUGGCAAGUUAAUUGGUUUAGAUUGUGCAAGGGGCAAAAAUAUUUAUAGUGGUCGAGCCAUAAUACUUAGAAAAGCUAAAGAAAUCCAAUUAAUCCUUUCUGUUAUGUCUGUUAUUGUGCUGAGCUGUGAUUAUGUAAUGCGCUCAGUGUUAGGCUCAAAGCCUGCAUUUAGUUUUGUGAUGCUAGCUUGCUGCUUUAACAAUUGUUAUGCCUAUACUCCUUAAGCUUCUGGCCUAUGUUAAAAAUAGGCGGAAUCAUGAACUUAGCUGUAAAAGUGCUAAUACCUUUGCUUAAUCUUCUAAAUUAUUUUAGGUAACUACUUACAUUGGCUAUAAACGGUGUUUGGAAGUUAUAGUUGGGAUUAGAAAGGAAGAUUGUUCAAAAAAUAAUCCCACAACACGCACCUGCGCGCACACACAUAUGGAGACUAGAAUAACUAAAAAAGAAAGAUAGAAGAAAAAAAUGGACACAAGGAAUUUUACAUGGUUUGGCCAUAUGCCUACGUCCACAGAGAGCCACCUGCGACUUUUCAAUAUUAAGGAGAGACUCACUAGUGCCCUAUUACAUAGAGAACAGGGUUUUUCUCUUUUAUGCUAGGAAUAUGAAAAACUGCAAAUUGCAACAAUAACUCAUUUGUUGGAAUUUUGAGCAUGGAUUAUUGGAAAAUUGUUAGUGAUGGAUGAUUAUGAUAUAAUUAACUAUGUAUAUCUCUUUGUUAGUUCUCCAGUUCAAAAGAAAUGGAGAUGCCUACCUUUAUGACCUCAACAGCACACAUGGUACUUUCAUUAACAAGUGUCAGGUUGAGAAAAAGGUUUAUGUGGAACUAAAUGUUGGUGAUAUCAUUCGAUUUGGCCUUUCAUCUCGAUUGUACAUAUUCCAAGGGCCAUCUGAAUUGAUGCUCCCGGAAAAAGACUUGAAGCUUCUUAGAGAAGCUAAGUUCCGGCAAGAGAUGCUUGAUCGAGAAGCUUCACUUCGACGAGCAAGAGCAGAAGCAUCUGUUGCAGAUGGUAUCUCAUGGGGCAUGGGAGAAGAUGCUGUUGAAGAAGAUGAGGAUGAUGGCGAUGAAAUUACUUGGCAAACCUACAAAGGACAACUUACAGAGAAGCAGGAGAAAACCCGUGAUAAAAUAAUCAAACGAACUGAAAAGAUUGCUCAUAUGAAGAAAGAAAUAGAUGCUAUUCGUGCUAAAGAUAUUGCUCAAGGUGGGUUGACACAAGGGCAGCAAACUCAGAUUGCUCGGAAUGAACAAAGAAUGACACAGGUAAAAGCUGGUCUUUCUCCCAAUUAUUUUCUAGUGGUUCUCUAUUUUGCUCUUGGAAAGGAUUGCUCUUUUGAUUUCCCCCCACUUCUACAUGCUCUUUUCUCAUAUCUGUUAAUAGAUCUUGGAAGAACUGGAAAACUUGGAAGAAACAUUAAAUGAAAGUAUCCAGGAAAGUAUUGGCGCACGUGCUGGAAGGAAAUCUAGCAGCAUGAAAAAAGGAACAGCAGAAGAUGAUGAGGAUUUUUUGAGUGAUGAUGAUGAAUUCUAUGACCGUACAAAGAAGCAUUCAAUACAAAAGUCAAAUGAAAAUCAAUCAAUUGAAACUGCUGAUAGUCUUCUUGACAAGAGAGACAACAUCAUGAAAGAAAUGGAAGACAAAAAGGAGUUGCUUUUGAUUGAGAAGAAUAAAACAGCAUUUGAAACUGCAGCAGAAACUGAAGCUGGAGACACACUCGAUGCUUACAUGUCGGGACUGUCGUCUCAACUAGGGCUUGAUAAAACUGUACAAAUUGAAAAAGAAUUGUCUGCUCUCCAAUCUGAACUGGAUAGGAUCUUCUUUCUCUUGAAAAUUGCCGACCCAUCUGGAGAGGCUGCUAAGAAAAGGGAUUCAAGAGUACAAGGACAGAAACCUGAUAAUUAUAAAGCUGAAGCACCUGCUGCUGCUACCAAAAAGCAAUCUACCGUGGAACCAAAGAAAAGCAGUGGGGUGGGAAAACCAAUAGAUGCCUCAAAGAAGAAAGACACAACUCCAGAUUCCAUGGUCGCUACCAUGGAGUCAGACAAUAAGCCAGAAGCUGACAAGGUUGUUGAUGCACCUGAGGUUAAACCUGCUGUUUACACUGUUGUAAAGCCUCAGUGGCUUGGUGCAGUGAAUGAUACAGAAGUGAAAGAGACGAAACAAGAAGUGUUGAAUAUAGAUGAGGCUUACCAAUUCGUGGAUUAUAAAGACAGGCAAAAGAUCUUGCUUAAUGUGGAUGGUGCACAGGAUAAGAUGGAUUCAGGCAUUGAAAGUGCUGCUCCUGGGUUGAUAAUAAGGAAGCAGAAGGAAACUGAGGGACCUGGAACCAAUGAUAACAAAGCUACUGAACAGUCCAUGGCAUCCACCAUAGAAGCCAAGCUCACAGCAGAAGAUGCUGUGGCAUUGUUACUGAAGCAUAAGAGAGGAUAUCAUGCAGAAGAUGAGGUUGGAGGACAUGAAAGCCGGGAAGUAGGCCAAAGUCAACAUAAUAAGGAUAACAAAAGACCAAAAAGAGUGCUUGGCCCUGAGAAACCAUCAUUUCUCAACGGCAAUUCAUAUUAUGAAUCAUGGGUCCCUCCUGAAGGACAAUCAGGUGAUGGGCGAACCUCUCUGAAUGACCGAUAUGGAUAUUGAUGUGAAAUUCUUGUCUUGUCAUGACAUGGGCCCUAAGCAUGACCUGUUGUGGGCAAACAUGUUUUACAAGGGUAUGAUGACGCUAAACUUUACUUAAGCCUUAAUGAUGACAGUUCGAGUCAGAAGCAUCCUGCAAAAUAAUGUGCUUUUGUUUAACAACUCCAAGGCAAAUAGAGAAGGGUGGUUGAAAGCUGUUGUGUGUUAUUGAUCUAGUUGCAUUUGGCGAACUUAUAAUUAAAAAUCAUUUAGGUUGGAGAUGUUCUUCAGGGAUCAUUUCUAGAUCAAGAGAAUGCCACACCUUAGUUGCAUUUGGACAAGCAUUAAGGGUCAUGAAGGAUUUAAUGCACUAAUGUCCAGAAAAAUGCAGUUUAUACUGAUGUGUAAAUAUCAAAUAGUUUCGUCCAAACAUGUAGUCAAAUAAAAAGAUACUAGCAAUUCAAGCAAGGAUUGGUUUUGGAAGCCCUAUUGCAAGAUAGUCAUAUGUGUUUUAUUUUUGCAGCUGAAAAUAAUUGGUGCUGCGGUGAUUAUAAAAGUGAAUGGAUAAAUGUAAAAAGUGAGUAAAUUGGAUUAACGCUUUCAAUUGAACAAGUAAAAAAUCUUAAAAAAUAAAAG
rnacentral:misc_RNA from 1 species